UACGGGGGGGGCAAGCGUUGUUCGGAAUUACUGGGCGUAAAGGGCUCGUAGGUGGCCAACUAAGUCAGACGUGAAAUCCCUCAGCUUAACUGGGGAACUGCGUCUGAUACUGGAUGGCUUGAGUUUGGGAGAGGGAUGCGGAAUUCCAGGUGUAGCGGUGAAAUGCGUAGAUAUCAGGAGGAACACCGGUGGCGAAGGCGGGUCUCUGGGCCGAUACUGACGCUGAGGAGCGAAAGCGUGGGGAGCAAACAGG
rnacentral:rRNA from 1 species